rnacentral:rRNA from 1 species
UAAUACGGAGAGGGCAAGCGUUGUUCGGAUUUACUGGGCAUAAAGAGCACGUAGGCGGACCUACAAGUCAGUUGUGAAAUCCCGGGGCUCAACCCCGGAACUGCAUCCGAUACUAUAGGUCUAGAGGAUGAAAGAGGAGAGUGGAACUUCUGGUGGAGCGGUGAAAUGCGUAGAUAUCAGAAGGAACACCGGUGGCGAAAGCGACUCUCUGGUUCAUAUCUGACGCUGAGGUGCGAAAGCUAGGGGAGCAAACGGGAUUAGAUACCCCGGUAGUCCUAGCCGUAAACGAUGGGCACUAAGUAGGGGAGGUUCUGACACCUUCCCUGCCGGAGCUAACGUAUUAAGUGCCCCGCCUGGGGAGUAUGGUCGCAAGGCUA